rnacentral:other from 1 species
GCUGCUGGAGCGCGCGUCAGGCCUUCACAUCCCGGCGACCUUACAUCUCUGUGAGGGAGCUGCCUCUGGCAGGGACCGUGGUCCCCGUCACGCGGCGCCCACCUGGUUAUCCGGGUCAUCAGGGUUGUCAAACGGCCAACGGCGCAAUCGGGGCCGCC